rnacentral:rRNA from 1 species
GAUGAACGCUGGCGGCGUGCCUAAUACAUGCAAGUCGAGCGAACGGACGAGAAGCUUGCUUCUCUGAUGUUAGCGGCGGACGGGUGAGUAACACGUGGAUAACCUACCUAUAAGACUGGGAUAACUUCGGGAAACCGGAGCUAAUACCGGAUAAUAUUUUGAACCGCAUGGUUCAAAAGUGAAAGACGGUCUUGCUGUCACUUAUAGAUGGAUCCGCGCUGCAUUAGCUAGUUGGUAAGGUAACGGCUUAUCAAGGCAACGAUGCAUAGCCGACCUGAGAGGGUGAUCGGCCACACGGGAACUGAGACACGGUCCAGACUCCUACGGGAGGCAGCAGUAGGGAAUCUUCCGCAAUGGGCGAAAGCCUGACGGAGCAACGCCGCGUGAGUGAUGAAGGUCUUCGGAUCGUAAAACUCUGUUAUUAGGGAAGAACAUAUGUGUAAGUAACUGUGCACAUCUUGACGGUACCUAAUCAGAAAGCCACGGCUAACUACGUG